rnacentral:misc_RNA from 1 species
GAUGAAGAACGUAGCGAAAUGCGAUACUUAAUGUGAAACGCAACGCAGCGCGAAUCAUCAAGGUUUCGAACGCACAUUGCGCUGUUCCAGUCUUCUGGGACAGCAUGCCUGUUUGAGCAUCGUUUCAAACCCCUCAAUCCCCCCCUCUACCGACCGGGGCAUUGGACGUUGAGUGCCCUACUGACUUACGAGUUGGUAGGCCACUUGAAAUGGAGAUCCCUUUCUGAUGCGAACCACUUGGUCUUGCGUCUUGUGCUGUGAUGCAGUCCUUUCGAGGACCGCUCCUCAUCACUCGGCGCUCAUGGACCCACAGUGCGAAUGUCGUGUCAUACCAAAAGAAAGGACCGAGCGAAAAAACACCGAUGGUGAAACCACCAUCGCUCUCUUCGCGAUCUCAAAUCAGGCAAGACCACCCGCUGAACUUAAGCAUAUCAAUAAGCGGAGGA